rnacentral:rRNA from 1 species
GAUGAACGCUGGCGGCGUGCCUAAUACAUGCAAGUCGAGCGAACGGACGAGAAGCUUGCUUCUCUGAUGUUAGCGGCGGACGGGUGAGUAACACGUGGAUAACCUACCUAUAAGACUGGGAAAACUUCGGGAAACCGGAGCUAAUACCGGAUAAUAUUUUGAACCGCAUGGUUCAAAAGUGAAAGACGGUCUUGCUGUCACUUAUAGAUGGAUCCGCGCUGCAUUAGCUAGUUGGUAAGGUAACGGCUUACCAAGGCAACGAUGCAUAGCCGACCUGAGAGGGUGAUCGGCCACACUGGAACUGAGACACGGUCCAGACUCCUACGGGAGGCAGCAGUAGGGAAUCUUCCGCAAUGGGCGAAAGCCUGACGGAGCAACGCCGCGUGAGUGAUGAAGGUCUUCGGAUCGUAAAACUCUGUUAUUAGGGAAGAACAUAUGUGUAAGUAACUGUGCACAUCUUGACGGUACCUAAUCAGAAAGCUACGGCUAACUACGUG